rnacentral:rRNA from 1 species
UACGUAGGGACCAAGCGUUGUUCGGAUUUACUGGGCGUAAAGGGCGCGUAGGCGGCAAUUCAAGUCAGUUGUGAAAUCUCCGAGCUUAACUCGGAACGGUCAACUGAUACUGUCUUGCUAGAGUACAGAAGGGGCAAUCGGAAUUCUUGGUGUAGCGGUGAAAAUGCGUAGAUAUCAAGAGGAACACCUGAGGUGAAGACGGGUUGCUGGGCUGAUACUGACGCUGAGGCGCGAAAGCUAGGGUAGCAAACGGG